CUGCUAUCGGGGUGGGACUAAAACAUGCCUGUCAAACGACCCCAAGCCAACAUGAGGUCGUGGCAUACGGCUCAUUAACACGUGGCUAACCUACCCUCGAGACGGGGACACCCCCGGGAAACUGGGGCUAAUCCCAAAUAAAUGAAAACUCCUGGAAUGGGUUCUCGUCCAAAGGGCAUUGCGGUUAUGCUCUGCGGUGUCCCUCAGGGAGGGGGCCCCGUCCGAUCAGGCUGUUGGUGAGGCAACGGCUCACCAAACCUAUAACCGGUACGGGCCGUGAAAGCGGUACCCCGGAGAUGGGCACUGAGACAGGGGCCCAGGCCCUACGGGGCGCAGCAGGCGCAAAACCUCCACAAUGCACAAAAGUGCGAUGGGGCUACCUCGAGUGCCGCCUGAAAAAGGCGGUUUUUCCACGGUGUAAUAAGCCGGGGGAAUAAGAGGGGGGCAAGACUGGUGUCACCCGCCGCGGUAACCCCACCCCCUCGAGUGGUGGGGACUUUUAUUGGGCCUAAAGCGUCCGUAGCCGGUUAUGUAAUUCCCUCGUUAAAUCCAGCGUCCCAAGCGCUGGGCCGCGAGGAAGACUGCAAAGCUAGAGGGUGGGAGAGGUCAGCGGUAUUUCUGGGGUAGGGGCGAUAUCCUUUGAUCCCAGGAGGACCACCAGUGGCGAAGGCUGCUGACUAGAACACGCCUGACGGUCAGGGACGAAAGCUGGGGUAGCGAAUCGGAUUAGAUACCCGAGUAUUCCCAGCUGUAAACGAUGCAGGCUAGUUGUUGGGUCGGCCCCCCCCCCUCCUCAGUGCCACAGGGAAGCCGUUAAGCCCUGCCGCCUUGGGAGUACGGCCGCAAGGAUGAAACUUAGGGAAUUGGGGGGGGACCCCCCCCGGUCUUGAGGCCGGUGGUUUAUUG
rnacentral:rRNA from 1 species